GAUGAACGCUGACAGAAUGCUUAACACAUGCAAGUCGAUUCGAUUUACCUUCGGGUAUUGAGGAUGGCGGACGGGUGAGUAACGCGUAAGGAACUUGCCUCUUGGUCUGGGACAACUGUUGGAAACGACAGCUAAUACCGGAUAUUAUGAGAUUCUCGCAUGGGAAACUUAUGAAAGCUAUAUGCGCCAAGAGAGAGCCUUGCGUUCCAUUAGCUAGUUGGUGGGGUAACGGCCCACCAAGGCGACGAUGGAUAGCCGGCCUGAGAGGGUGAACGGCCACAAGGGGACUGAGACACGGCCCUUACUCCUACGGGAGGCAGCAGUGGGGAAUAUUGGACAAUGGGCCACAAGCCUGAUCCAGCAAUUCUGUGUGCACGAUGAAGGUCUUCGGAUUGUAAAGUGCUUUCAGUUGGGAAGAAGAAAGUGACGGUACCAACAGAAGAAGCGACGGCUAAAUACGUGCCAGCAGCCGCGGUAAUACGUAUGUCGCAAGCGUUAUCCGGAUUUAUUGGGCGUAAAGCGCGUCUAGGCGGAAAAAUAAGUCUGAUGUUAAAAUGCGGGGCUCAACUCCGUAUUGCGUUGGAAACUGUUUUUCUAGAGUACUGGAGAGGUGGGCGGAACUACAAGUGUAGAGGUGAAAUUCGUAGAUAUUUGUAGGAAUGCCGAUGGAGAAGUCAGCUCACUGGNCAGAUACUGACGCUAAAGCNCGAAAGCGUGGGGAGCAAACAGGANUAGAUACCCUGGUAGUCCACGCCGUAAACGAUGAUCACUAGGUGNUGGGGGUCGAACCUCA
rnacentral:rRNA from 1 species